rnacentral:rRNA from 1 species
AUGGGCUUCCGUGAUUUGCACCUAUUUAAUUUGGCACUGUUGGGAAAGCAUGGCUGGAGACUCAUGAACAAUCCAAAUUUCCUUUGUGCAAGAGUGUUAAAAGCAAGGUAUUUCCCGGACACUGAUUUUUUGCACACAACUGUACCAAAAUCUUCCUCGGCCACAUGGCGUGCAAUAGUGGCUGGCCGUGAUGCUCUUAACACUGGCUUGAUUAAGAGAGUGGGAGAUGGAUCCACCAUCUCCAUAUGGGAUGACAAGUGGAUUCCGGGCACUUUGUUGAUGCGGCCCCUACUGAAACCGGAGGGCACGCAGCUGCAGUUGAUGAGUGAGCUAAUUCACACAUAUAACUGGACUUGGCGUGCUGAUCUCAUUCGAGAUGUUUUCAUACCACCUGAUGAGGAUGCUAUCCUUAAUAUCCCAUUACAUAAUGGAGGUGGACAUGAUUUUUUUGGCCUGGGAUUUCGAGAAGUCAGGGAUGUAUUCUGUGAAAUCUUCGUACCGUGCUCUUGUGACUCAGAAAGAGCUUUCUGCUCCAGAGGAAGGGACGGCUACAAGCACUUCAUUGACAGAUAA